rnacentral:rRNA from 1 species
AGAACGAACGCUGGCGGCAGGCUUAACACAUGCAAGUCGAACGCUCGUAGCAAUACGGGAGUGGCAGACGGGUGAGUAACGCGUGGGAACCUUCCCUGUGGUACGGAAUAACUUCGGGAAACCGAAGCUAAUACCGUAUAUCUCCUCCGGGAGAAAGAUUUAUCGCCAUAGGAUGGGCCCGCGUUGGAUUAGCUAGUUGGUGAGGUAACGGCUCACCAAGGCAACGAUCCAUAGCUGGUCUGAGAGGAUGAUCAGCCACACUGGGACUGAGACACGGCCCAGACUCCUACGGGAGGCAGCAGUGGGGAAUAUUGGACAAUGGGCGCAAGCCUGAUCCAGCCAUGCCGCGUGAGUGAAGAAGGCCUUAGGGUUGUAAAGCUCUUUUGGCGGGGACGAUAAUGACGGUACCGCAGAAUAAGCCCGGCUAACUUCGCGCCAGCAGCCGC